rnacentral:rRNA from 1 species
UACGUAGGGCGCAAGCGUUGUCCGGAAUUAUUGGGCGUAAAGAGCUCGUAGGCGGCUUAUCACGUCUGCUGUGAAAUCCCAGGGCUUAACCCUGGGCCUGCAGUGGAUACGGGUUGGCUAGAGGCAGGCAGGGGAGAACGGAAUUUCCGGUGGAGCGGUGAAAUGCGUAGAGAUCGGAAAGAACACCAACGGCGAAAGCACUCUGCUGGGCCGACACUGACACUGAGAGACGAAAGCUAGGGGAGCGAAUGGG